rnacentral:rRNA from 1 species
AGAGUUUGAUCAUGGCUCAGAAUCAACGCUGGCGGCGCGCUUAACACAUGCAAGUCGCACGAGAAAGUGGAGCAAUCCAUGAGUAAAGUGGCGUACGGGUGAGUAACACGUGGAUCAUCUACCUCUUGGUGGGGAAUAACCCUGGGAAACCGGGGCUAAUACCGCAUAAGCCUGCAAAGGGAAAGCAGCAAUGCGCCGAGAGAGGAGUCCGCGGCCGAUUAGCUUGUUGGUAGGGUAAUGGCCUACCAAGGCAAUGAUCGGUAGCCGGCCUGAGAGGGCACACGGCCACACUGGCACUGAGACACGGGCCAGACUCCUACGGGAGGCAGCAGUGGGGAAUCUUGCACAAUGGGGGCAACCCUGAUGCAGCGACGCCGCGUGAGCGAUGAAGCCCUUCGGGGUGUAAAGCUCUUUCGGCAGGAACGAUAAUGACGGUACCUGCAGAAGAAGCUGCGGCUAACUACGUGCCAGCAGCCGCGGUAAUACGUAGGCAGCAAGCGUUGUUCGGAGUUACUGGGCGUAAAGAGUGUGUAGGCGGUUCUCUAAGUUCCGUGUGAAAUCUCCCGGCUCAACUGGGAGGGUGCGCGGAAAACUGGAGGGCUUGAGUAUGGGAGAGGAAAGCGGAAUUCCUGGUGUAGCGGUGAAAUGCGUAGAUAUCAGGAGGAACACCUGCGGUGUAGACAGCUUUCUGGACCAUCACUGACGCUGAGACACGAAAGCGUGGGUAGCAAACAGGAUUAGAUACCCUAGUAGUCC